UACGGAGGGUCCAAGCGUUAUCCGGAAUCAUUGGGUUUAAAGGGUUCGCAGGCGGUUUAAUAAGUCAGUGGUGAAAUCUCGGGGCUCAACCUCGAAACUGCCAUUGAUACUGUUAGACUUGAAUACAGUUGGAGUAGGCGGAAUGUGUAGUGUAGCGGUGAAAUGCUUAGAUAUUACACAGAACACCGAUAGCGAAGGCAGCUUACUAAACUGUGAUUGACGCUCAUGAACGAAAGCGUGGGGAGCGAACAGG
rnacentral:rRNA from 1 species